UACGGGGGGGGCAAGCGUUGUUCGGAAUUACUGGGUGUAAAGGGCUCGUAGGCGGCCAACUAAGUCUGACGUGAAAUCCCCCGGCUUAACUGGGGAACUGCGUCAGGUACUGGUUGGCUUGAGUUCGGGAGAGGGACGUGGAAUUCCAGGUGUAGCGGUGAAAUGCGUAGAUAUCUGGAGGAACACCGGUGGCGAAGGCGGCGUCCUGGACCGACUACUGACGCUGAGGAGCGAAAGCCAGGGGAGCAAACGGG
rnacentral:rRNA from 1 species